rnacentral:tRNA from 1 species
UUCAAGGGAUGGGAAUCGAACCCAUGACCUUCCGCUUACCGGGCAGAUGCCAUGACCACUAGGCUACCCUGGA